rnacentral:rRNA from 1 species
GACGAACCGUGCGAACGUUGUUCGGAAUCACUGGGCUUAAAGGGCGCGUAGGCGGGCCAUCAAGUCCGGGGUGAAAUCCUUCGGCUUAACCGGAGAAUUGCCUUGGAUACUGGUGGUCUUGAGGGAAGUAGGGGUCUGCGGAACUUCCGGUGGAGCGGUGAAAUGUGUUGAUAUCGGAAGGAACGCCGGUGGCGAAAGCGGCGGACUGGGCUUCUUCUGACGCUGAGGCGCGAAAGCUAGGGGAGCAAACGGGAUUAGAAACCCCCGUAGUCC